GCGCCGGUGGUGUAGUGGUAGCACAUGAGCUUCCCAAGCUCAUAGCCCGGGUUCAAUUCCCGGUCGGCGCA
rnacentral:tRNA from 1 species